GGGUUGUGAGGUUAAGCGACUAAGCGUACACGGUGGAUGCCCUGGCAGUCAGAGGCGAUGAAGGACGUGCUAAUCUGCGAUAAGCGUCGGUAAGGUGAUAUGAACCGUUAUAACCGGCGAUUUCCGAAUGGGGAAACCCAGUGUGUUUCGACACACUAUCAUUAACUGAAUCCAUAGGUUAAUGAGGCGAACCGGGGGAACUGAAACAUCUAAGUACCCCGAGGAAAAGAAAUCAACCGAGAUUCCCCCAGUAGCGGCGAGCGAACGGGGAGCAGCCCAGAGCCUGAAUCAGUGUGUGUGUUAGUGGAAGCGUCUGGAAAGGCGCGCGAUACAGGGUGACAGCCCCGUACACAAAAAUGCACAUGCUGUGAGCUCGAUGAGUAGGGCGGGACACGUGGUAUCCUGUCUGAAUAUGGGGGGACCAUCCUCCAAGGCUAAAUACUCCUGACUGACCGAUAGUGAACCAGUACCGUGAGGGAAAGGCGAAAAGAACCCCGGCGAGGGGAGUGAAAAAGAACCUGAAACCGUGUACGUACAAGCAGUGGGAGCACGCUUAGGCGUGUGACUGCGUACCUUUUGUAUAAUGGGUCAGCGACUUAUAUUCUGUAGCAAGGUUAACCGAAUAGGGGAGCCGAAGGGAAACCGAGUCUUAACUGGGCGUUAAGUUGCAGGGUAUAGACCCGAAACCCGGUGAUCUAGCCAUGGGCAGGUUGAAGGUUGGGUAACACUAACUGGAGGACCGAACCGACUAAUGUUGAAAAAUUAGCGGAUGACUUGUGGCUGGGGGUGAAAGGCCAAUCAAACCGGGAGAUAGCUGGUUCUCCCCGAAAGCUAUUUAGGUAGCGCCUCGUGAAUUCAUCUCCGGGGGUAGAGCACUGUUUCGGCAAGGGGGUCAUCCCGACUUACCAACCCGAUGCAAACUGCGAAUACCGGAGAAUGUUAUCACGGGAGACACACGGCGGGUGCUAACGUCCGUCGUGAAGAGGGAAACAACCCAGACCGCCAGCUAAGGUCCCAAAGUCAUGGUUAAGUGGGAAACGAUGUGGGAAGGCCCAGACAGCCAGGAUGUUGGCUUAGAAGCAGCCAUCAUUUAAAGAAAGCGUAAUAGCUCACUGGUCGAGUCGGCCUGCGCGGAAGAUGUAACGGGGCUAAACCAUGCACCGAAGCUGCGGCAGCGACGCUUAUGCGUUGUUGGGUAGGGGAGCGUUCUGUAAGCCUGUGAAGGUGUGCUGUGAGGCAUGCUGGAGGUAUCAGAAGUGCGAAUGCUGACAUAAGUAACGAUAAAGCGGGUGAAAAGCCCGCUCGCCGGAAGACCAAGGGUUCCUGUCCAACGUUAAUCGGGGCAGGGUGAGUCGACCCCUAAGGCGAGGCCGAAAGGCGUAGUCGAUGGGAAACAGGUUAAUAUUCCUGUACUUGGUGUUACUGCGAAGGGGGGACGGAGAAGGCUAUGUUGGCCGGGCGACGGUUGUCCCGGUUUAAGCGUGUAGGCUGGUUUUCCAGGCAAAUCCGGAAAAUCAAGGCUGAGGCGUGAUGACGAGGCACUACGGUGCUGAAGCAACAAAUGCCCUGCUUCCAGGAAAAGCCUCUAAGCAUCAGGUAACAUCAAAUCGUACCCCAAACCGACACAGGUGGUCAGGUAGAGAAUACCAAGGCGCUUGAGAGAACUCGGGUGAAGGAACUAGGCAAAAUGGUGCCGUAACUUCGGGAGAAGGCACGC
rnacentral:rRNA from 1 species